rnacentral:rRNA from 1 species
AUACGUAGGGGGCGAGCGUUGUCCGGAUUUAUUGGGCGUAAAGCGUGUGUAGGUGGUUUAUUAAGUCUGAGGUUAAAGGCUGAAGCUCAACUUCAGUAUGCCUUGGAAACUAGUAGACUUGAGUAUAGUAGAGGCAAGUGGAAUUUCUAAUGUAGCGGUAAAAUGCGUAGAUAUUAGAAGGAACACCAGUGGCGAAGGCGACUUGCUGGGCUAUUACUGACGCUGAGACACGAAAGCGUGGGGAGCAAAUAGGAUUAGAUACCCUAGUAGUCCACGCCGUAAACGAUGAGUACUAAGUGUCGGAAUUUCCGGUGCUGAAGUUAACACAUUAAGUACUCCGCCUGUGUAGUACGGUCGCAAGGCUGAA